AUUGGUUNCAUUCGGGAACUGUGAGACAGGUGCUGCAUGGCUAGUCGUCAGCUCGUGUUGUGAAAUGUUGGGGUUAAAGUNCCGCCAACGAGCGCCAACCUUUUUCNUUNNGUUGCCAGCGGUCCGGCCGGGUAACUCAAAGGAGACUGCCAGUGAUAAACUGGAGGAAGGUGGGGAUGACGUCAAGUCAUCAUGGCCCUUACGACCAGGGCUACACACGUGCUACAAUGGCAUAUACAAGAGAGAAGCGACCUCGCGAGAGCAAGCGGACCUCAUAAAGUAUGUCGUAGUCCGGAUUGGAGUCUGCAACUCGACUCCAUGAAGUCGGAAUCGCUAGUAAUCGUAGAUCAGAAUGCUACGGUGAAUACGUUCCCGGGUCUUGUACACA
rnacentral:rRNA from 1 species